rnacentral:rRNA from 1 species
UACGGGGGGGGCAAGCGUUGUUCGGAAUUACUGGGCGUAAAGGGCUCGUAGGCGGCCAACUAAGUCAGACGUGAAAUCCCUCGGCUUAACCGGGGAACUGCAUCUGAUACUGGAUGGCUUGAGUUCGGUAGGGGAACACGGAAUUCCUGGUGUAGCGGUGAAAUGCGCAGAUAUCAGGAGGAACACCGAUGGCGAAGGCAGUGUUCUGGGCCGAUACUGACGCUGAGGAGCGAAAGCGUGGGGAGCGAACAGG